rnacentral:misc_RNA from 1 species
GAGGCCCGGAGCAAAAAUCUCUCAGAGAAGAAACCUGUUGUCCAGAGAGCAGGAAGCCAAAGCACAGAUUCUGACUCCUAAGACUUGUGAAGUGCUGUGGCGAGGAGCGACAAACAACUAACGAGCAACAAGAGAAAGCAGGAACAACAAGCGAUGAGAUAGCGAGGAGCGAUGCCGCAAUUGGUGGGAGUAAGGAGCGACAGAGAAAGGGAGGUGGAGACCAAAAGAAAAUGGAGAGAGGGAGUCAGGCUGCCUGAGCUGAGAGAAGAGCAGAUCUUCUCAACAUUUUAAGCUAUAUAUUAUGGGCUUAGUGUCUUGGGCUCUUGGCACCUUGCCAAUUGAGCUGGACUUUGGAGUGAAGGCUUGGAGGGCCUUAAGGUUAAUGGUUAAAGCACAUAGGCUACAGGCCUAAAACCUGCAGAAAGUAUAUGAUUUUUAAAAAUUCGGUUUGGUCUGGUUAGUUCAGUUUUUUACACAAUUAACUGAAUUGAACCAAAAAACUAAAAACCUUUAAAAUUAGCAACCAAAAAACUAAAUUAAAUCGGCUCAGGUUCAGUUAACCGCUGGUUUUAUAAAAUAAAACAUACAUAAAACCAAUUGUCUCAAUUAACCUUUUUUUAUCAGUCUUUUGAUUUUCAAUUUUUAAUUUUCAAUUUUAUUUGUCCAACAUGACCUAGAAGCAUAACACAAGUAGAGCACAUUGGGUUAGAAGAUAGAAAGAAAAGAAGGGGUAGGCCUAAACUGACUUGGAGGAGAGUAAUACAACAUGACCUAGAAGCAUUAC